AUUGAACGCUGGCGGCAUGCCUUACACAUGCAAGUCGAACGGCAGCAUGAUCUAGCUUGCUAGAUUGAUGGCGAGUGGCGAACGGGUGAGUAAUACAUCGGAACGUGCCCUGUAGUGGGGGAUAACUAGUCGAAAGAUUAGCUAAUACCGCAUACGACCUGAGGGUGAAAGUGGGGGACCGCAAGGCCUCAUGCUAUAGGAGCGGCCGAUGUCUGAUUAGCUAGUUGGUGAGGUAAAGGCUUACCAAGGCGACGAUCAGUAGCUGGUCUGCGAGGACGAGCAGCCACACUGGGACUGAGACACGGCCCAGACUCCUACGGGAGGCAGGAGUGGGGAAUUUUGGACAAUGGGGGCAACCCUGAUCCAGCAAUGCCGCGUGUGUGAAGAAGGCCUUCGGGUUGUAAAGCACUUUUGUCCGGAAAGAAAUCGCACUUACUAAUAUUAGGUGUGGAUGACGGUACCGGAAGAAUAAGGACCGGCUAACUACGUGCCAGCCGCCGCCGUAAAAC
rnacentral:rRNA from 1 species